rnacentral:rRNA from 1 species
CACGUAGGGUGCGAGCGUUGUCCGGAAUUAUUGGGCGUAAAGAGCUCGUAGGCGGUGUGUCGCGUCGGCCGUGAAAACCUGCAGCUUAACUGUGGGCUUGCGGUCGAUACGGGCAUCACUGGAGUUCGGCAGGGGAGACUGGAAUUCCUGGUGUAGCGGUGAAAUGCGCAGAUAUCAGGAGGAACACCGGUGGCGAAGGCGGUUCUCUGGGCCUUACCUGACGCUGAGGAGCGAAAGCGUGGGGAGCGAACGGG